rnacentral:rRNA from 1 species
AUUGAACGCUGGCGGCAGGCCUAACACAUGCAAGUCGAACGAGUGGCGGACGGGUGAGUAAUGUCUGGGAAACUGCCCGAUGGAGGGGGAUAACUACUGGAAACGGUAGCUAAUACCGCAUACCAUCGGAUGUGCCCAGAUGGGAUUAGCUAGUUGGGGGGGUAACGGCUCACCUAGGCGACGAUCCCUAGCUGGUCUGAGAGGAUGACCGUCCUCCCUGGACUGGAGACACGGUCCAGCCUCCUACGGGAGGCAGCGGUGGGGAUUAGUGCACAAUGGGCGCAAGCCUGAAUCAGCCAUGCCGCGUGUAUGAAGAAGGCCUUCGGGUUGUAAAGUCCUUUCAGCGAGGAGGCGUUACUCGCAGAAGAAGCACCGGCUAACUCCGUGCCAGCAGCGCGGUAAUAC